rnacentral:rRNA from 1 species
AGCUUAACAGCUAGUCCACCCGACUAAAACCAAAUAUUCGACCACCUCAAUAACCCCUAAUAUACAUAACAACGCUAAACAAAACAUUUUUCCCCUUUAGUAUAGGCGAUAGAAAAAGA